UAAAAAUAGCAAAAUUAUUAUACAGGAGAGCGUGUGAGUUCUACUCGCGUUUCUCUCCUCUCUCCUCCUAUUUUUUGAUCGUAAUCUCAUGCACCGUGUAAGGGAUUUCCUCCGACGAUUCUGGCGUCGAUGAGGAACCCAUGGUCUAUAGCGCGUCAUCCGUAGUCCGUUGUACCUUACCGGCGAAAUCUCCAGAUCGAAAUCAAGAGAGUUCGUGGCAGGGAAAAGCUUAUGUGGGACGCUACCGGUAAGAGCUCUAUCGGCAGUGUGGCGACGUGGAGUGAAGAAUGAGGUUUUCGACGGGGAAUGAGAAAAGUCGGCGGUUAGUUCUUGACAAUUGGAGACGCAUGAGGUUCUGUUACGGCCCGUGUUUUGAUGGGGAGGCAGAGCCGGUCCGGAGGGCAAGCAAGUGAAGCCAUCGCUUAGGGUCUCACAUUAUAAAAUUUUUUUUUUGGGAGAAUUUUUUUUUUUACAUUAACAAAAAGGCCUAAAUUUUUAGUUAUGCGUAGGGUAUCAAAGAAAAUUUUGAAACUUUGGACCGGCCCUGUGGGAAGGUCUACGGCCGGUAAGGCAAAGCUAUGCAACCGUCGAUGGUUGUCUUCUUCUACUCCCUACUACUUUAUCUCUCUCACGACUGAACUGUAGUUUUUCGAUGGUACGGUUUUGAUCGGUUCUUCUUCUUUCUCUUCAUAGCUCUAUGGUUGCGGGAUGGCGAUGGUCCAGUGUCUUCUACGUUCGACUCCCAUCUUCCUGGCUCACCGGUGGUCCUGUUUCGGCGAGUAUCCGCUGAUUCGUGGGAAGGCGGCUCGAACGGUUUUCCGAUAGAAGAUUAGGGUUUAUGUGUUCUUGGUUUAAAUCGGUUAUCUGCUAAGUUAGAUUGGUUUUAUUUUCGGAUCGGUUUUGGUUUGGUUUCCUGGUUUGGAUGGUGUAAUUGGAUUGGAUCCUAAG
rnacentral:lncRNA from 1 species